rnacentral:lncRNA from 1 species
CAUGGCUUUGUCCUCCUGAAAUAAAGAGGGUAAGAGAAGAGGUUUUAAUUAUUUUGUCUUAUUUAGGGAGACAUGGGUAAUACAUCAGAACAUUUCUCUAGGUGAGGUUCUUUCAGCUACAGAAUAUAAUUUUUUAUUUAUGAUACAUUUCGAAGUAACUGUAUGCGACUUGUGAACACUGGCCUUUCACACCAUCCAAAGUAAAAGAUCUGCAGAGACAGGUUACCAGAUACUUUCCCACAUCCCAGCCCUAAUGUUAGAAAAGCACAGAUACACUCUAAGAAUUGCCUUCCACACAAUGAAAUCAAGCAGUUAAGCAGCAUACCACAUAUGCAUCCUCCUUUAAUUGAAGAACCACAUAUUAAAAGAGAAAGUAAGAUUUUAAAAAAGCCAUGAAUGUGAGCUUUGGGUAUGUUCUUACACUACUAUUUUGAAGGCUUUCUGGAAGAUAUGUACUCUCAGUAGCUAUUUCUAUGACAUUAGAAAAAAAAAAUGAUAUGUAGUCUCAAGAUGAGCUUCCAAGAAAAACCCUGAACUGAGUAAGUUUCCUUGCUAAUGUCUAAGACUUUGCAGCCCUUUGAGGACUGUGGGUUGAACUGGCCUUCUUAUAGCUGCUUGGCUCCAAGAACUUCCAGGAGGGAAAGACAAUGAAUAGGUUCAUUAGUUGGUACUUAAAAGGACAAAGCUGUGUGCAUGGCUAAACCUAAGUUGUUUAUUAGUUUUAUCAAGAAGGAUUUUCACAAAUGGCUCCAAAACAGCUGCCAACACUUGGCCAGUCUAGUAGGUAUGAUUGUGAAGAGACUGCAUCAAAACGUCCUUGACAAAAUGUCACACUGUUUUCUUUUUAAUUAACCAGGUGCACAAUAAGCACUACCAUUGUUCUAUCCUCAGCUGGGAUAAUAGUCAAAUGAUACAUUAUUUACAUGAUUUGGAGGGGAAAAUGCUGAAGUAUAAAGACUCAUUUUUUAGGGGCUGGGUGUGAGCCACUGAGCCACCGUGCCCGGCCACUAACAUGCAUUUACCUCAGUCAUUCCUAACAAACACUUGGAAAAGCAAAGUAGUAUCCUGUGAUACUCCAGAACCACUAUGUUACUAUGUAGCAGGAUUUCAUUCAGUAUGCUGAGCAUUUGUUGAAUGUCUUUUUAACCAUAUUUAAAACAAGAACCAAUGCCUCAGGCCCUGCCCCCAGAAAUUCUAAUUUAAUUACUUUU